rnacentral:rRNA from 1 species
GAUGAACGCUGACAGAAUGCUUAACACAUGCAAGUCCACUUGAACUUCGGUUUGGGUGGCGGACGGGUGAGUAACGCGUAAAGAACUUGCCUCACAGCUAGGGACAACAUUUGGAAACGAAUGCUAAUACCUGAUAUUAUGAUUAUAUGGCAUCGUAUAAUUAUGAAAGCUAUAUGCGCUGUGAGAGAGCUUUGCGUCCCAUUAGCUAGUUGGAGAGGUAACAGCUCACCAAGGCGAUGAUGGGUAGCCGGCCUGAGAGGGUGAUCGGCCACAAGGGGACUGAGACACGGCCCUUACUCCUACGGGAGGCAGCAGUGGGGAAUAUUGGACAAUGGACCGAGAGUCUGAUCCAGCAAUUCUGUGUGCACGAUGAAGUUUUUCGGAAUGUAAAGUGCUUUCAGUUGGGAAGAAAAAAAUGGCGGUACCAACAGAAGAAGUGACGGCUAAAUACGUG